CCUAAAAGUGUUAAAUCAAAAUAUAUUUUAUAUUUGAGAUUCUUUCAAAGUAGCCACCCUAAUGCGUUAGAGCCAAUCAGUUGUGUUGUGACAAGGUAGGGUUGGUAUACAGAACAUAGCCCUAUUUGGUAAAAAACCAAGUCCAUAUUAUGGCAAGAACAGCUCAAAUAAGCGAAGAGAAACAGCAGUCCAUCAUUUCUUUAAGACAUGAACGUCAGUCAAUAUGGAACAUUUCAAGAACUUUGAAGGUUUCUUCAAGUGCAGUCACAAAAACCAUCAAGCGCUGUGAUGAAACUGGCUCUCAUGAGGACUGCCACAGGAAUGGAAGACCCAGAGUUACCUCUGCUGCAGAGGAUAAGUUCAUUAGAGUUACCAGCCUCAGAAAUGGUCAAUUAACUGCCCCUCAGAUUGCAGCCCAAAUAAAUGCUUCACAGAGGUCAAGUAACAGACACAUUUCAACAUCAACUGUUCAGAGGAGAAUGUGUGAAUCAGGCCUUCAUGGUCAAAUUCUGCAAGUAACCACUACUAAAGAUACCAAUAAGAGGAAGAGACUUGCUUGGGCCAAGAAACACGAGCAAUGGACAUUAGACAGGUGGAAAUUUGUCCUUUGGUCCGUAGUCCAAAUUGGAGAUUUUUGGUCCCAACCACCGUGUCUUUGUGAGACACGGUAUGGGUGAACGGAUAAUCUCUACAUGUGUUUUUCCCACCGUGAAGCAUGGAGGAGGAGGUGUGAUGGUGUGGGUGUGCUUUGCUGUUGACAAUGUCUGUGAUUUAUUUAGAAUUCAAGGCAAACUUAACCAGCAUGGCUACCACAGAAUUCUGCAACGAUACACGCCAUCCCAUCUGGUUUGUGCUUAGUGGGACUAUCAUUUGUUUUUCAACAGGACCAGGCUGUGUAAUUUUACAUAGAAUUAGAGUAAUGGAGUGCUGCAUCAGAUGACCUGGCCUCCACAAUCCCCUGACCUCAACCAAAUUGAGAUGGUUUGGGAUGAGUCGGACUACAGACGGAAAGAAAAGGAGCCAACAAGUGCUCAGCAUAUGUGGGAACACCUUCAAGACUGUUGGAAAAGCUUCCAGGUGAAGCUGAUUGAGAGAAUACCAAAUAUCAGUGUGCAAAGCUGUCAUCAAGGCAAAGGGUGGCUAUUUGAAGAAUCUAAAAUAUAUUUUGAUUUGUUUAACACUUUUUUGGUUACUACAUGAUUCCAUAUGUGUUAUUUUACAGUUUUAAUGUAUUUACUAUUAUUCUACAAUGUAGAAAAUACUUUUUUUUAAACAAGGAAUGAGUAGGUGUUCUAAAACUUUUUACCGGUAUUGUAUUUGAGUAGAUAGAAUAUGUGGGUGGAAUUUCAAGUUCAUCACAAUAUUGAUAAUUGUUUUAAAUUUUAUUUCACAUUCUUGGAGACCAACUGUCUGGUUGGUGAAUACAUGCCUGUCCCCAAGGAGGAAGACUGGAGGGCCAUCGCUGCCGAGUUCCUGGAGAGGUGGAAUUUCCCCAACUGUCUUGGCUCCAUUGACGGGAAACAUGUAGUAAUCCAGGCUCCACUGUGCUCAGGGUCGCAAUUAUACAACUACAAGGGUACAUAUUCAGUUGUACUCUUGGCUGUUGUAGAUGCCAUCUACUGUUUCCGUGUUGUCGAUGUUGGUACUUAUGGCAAGGGAAGUGAUAACGGGACCCUCCGGGACUCUGCCUUCAGCCAGGCACUUCAGGAUGCCACCCUGGAGACUCCACCACCUGCAUCACUCCCUGGGGCUGAAGACCUGGGACCCAUUCCCCACUUCUUUGUCGGCGAUGAGGCCUUCACUUGAGAACUAACCUCAUGAGGCCCUAUGCUGGAUGCCAGCUGCCAUUGCCAAAGCCUGUAAGGAUCUUUAACAAACAACUAUCCAGGGCAAGGUUAUAUGUUAAAUGCGCCUUUGGGAUUCUUGACAGCCUGGUGGAGAAUGUAUUGGAGAGUGCUUGGUCUCAGCCCCUCAAAUGUCGAUGCCUGCGUGAAGGCCAAGUGUUCUCCACAACUACCUGCGGAGGUCAUUCCAGGAGAUGGGCACGCCAAAUGGUCACCUACCUGAUGUCACCAACAACGCCCCCCAGGUGCCAACAACGCCCCCAGACAGGCACUCCAGGUGAGGGAGAAGCUGACCACCUACUCCUCAUCGCCAGCAGGUGAAGUCCCAUAGCAGUAUGCCAUGGCUUGAAACAGCUUUUUUUAAGAGCCCCCUAACACCAAGGUUAUUUUAAGAACCAUCCACCGUUGUCCAUGAAAUAUAUAUUUUUUCCCAGAUUAUUUUAUGUCUCAUUGUCUCUCUUCAUUUGAAAGCGAAAUUUGGGAGUAAAGACCACACAUUAACCCCUUCCCUCUCCCAUUAACAUCAGUAUUAUACACACCUGGCAUGGUACAUCAGGUGAGCAGGAGCUCUAAUUAAGGUUAUACGACAUACAGUUAGUAUGAUAACAAUGGACCCUAGGUGACCUAGGGACAAUACAAAUAGUAAAGUUUACCACCAUCUUCACUGGUCUGACAAAAUGCAGGUUAGGAAGAGAGUGUGUUUUUACUUUAAUCUGGUCUUAGAUCUGCAAAGGUGUAGGGAAGAAAUAAGCAGAUUAAGUCUAAAUGAGAUAUUAAUAAACAAAUGAAACAACUGACUAUGAAAACAUUAGACUUUAAUGAGUAUUCAAGUGCAGGAAAGAACACGACAGGUAUGUGUGUUGUAGAAAUGUUACCAAAAAUAAAAUAACUAUUGAAAGAGGUGUGUGUCCAUGUAUGUGCGUGUAAAAAUACAAAAAUGUUUGUGUAGCCUGUAAUCUGUAAGAGAACAACAAGAGCAAGAGCAUGCACAACUGCAGACAGAUACAGGGACAAUUCAUAAAGCCUAGACAUAGUAGGGGAACUUCAGACAUGGCCAUAAAGAGAGAGAGGGCAGGGCUGUCUGUGAAUGUGUAGCCACAAUACAGGUAAACACACAUUUCACCUUCAGUCUUGUAAAAGAACAACAAGAGCAUCUGAAUUCUCCGGUGUGUCAGUUUCAAUUCAGUCAAUUUUCAUGCAAUCUAUGUACAACGAAUAAUGAAUGCUGUCCUACAGUAAGUAUUGAGAAACUAUUUACUUUAUGAAUUCCAUUAAUUUUAUACUAAAAAGCCUACUAAGAAAGGACAUUAGUAAGCGGAAUAAGUUAGAAAAUCUCAAGUGAGGACCCUUGGAAAAUAUCAGUUGCAUUUCCUUGAUUCCUCGCGUCCUCUCCUCACCUCCUGCUCAAAACCCAUUGGAGGAGAAGGUCAAAACAACAACCAGACAGCUCACCUCUUCCUGUCCUUCCUGUGAGCUGGUCAGCUAAAUUGACUGCAUCUCUGGAAGGGAAGAGAAAAACAACACUUACAAGCAUUACAUAAAUUAACACCAUAAAAGGUGAGAUUUAUGUUAACUAAAUACUGCUUGUAUAGUGUAGUUAGUGGCAUAAAUAUUGGAACAGUAUGGUAACAUUGGUAAUUGUUGCUGUUUACUCAUGGAAUUUGUAUUUCAGAUCAAAAGAUGAAUUUGACAGGCAAAUGUUUAGACAACAAACUUGUUUUAGGAUAUUUUCUAACCCAGAAACAACAGCUACAGUGGGGCGAAAAAGUAUUUAGUCAGCCACCAAUUGUGCAAGUUCUCCCACUUAAAAAAUGAAAGGCCUGUCAUUUUCAUUAUAGGUACACUUCAACUAUGACAGACAAAAUUAGAAAAAAUAUCCAGAAAAUCACAUUGUAGGAUUUUUAAUGAAUUUAUUUGCAAAUUAUGGUGGAAAAUAAGUAUUUGGUCACCUACAAACAAGCAAGAUUUCUGGCUCUCACAGAGCUGUAACUUCUUCUUUAAGAGGCUCCUCUGUCCUCCACCCGUUACCUGUAUUAAUGGCACCUGUUUGAACUUGUUAUCAGUAUAAAAGACACCUGUCCACAACCUCAAACAGUCACACUCCAAACUCCACUAUGGCCAAUACUUAUUUUCCACCAUAAUUUGCAAAUAAAUUCAUAAAAAAUCCUACAAUGUGAUUUUCUGGAUUUUUUUUCUUCUCAUUUUGAAAAAAAUGUAACAUUGAACUCGGCAUCACAAAAAUUAAUUUGAACCUUGACUGCUGCUUUUCUUUGCUGAGGCAGCCUCUUUAGGGUUGUCACCAGGCUGAUGGCAAAGAGGGUCUCUUCCUCCUCCUUCCUGUGAGCAUCAGGUUGGGCUGUAUCCCUCUUGACAGCUUGGAGGUGCCUCUGCUGAAAUGAGUGGAUCUGGGGGCUGGUACCGCCGAUGGCGCCUGGUGUGGCUUUGUUCCUCUUCGUGUCUCUCCUCGUUUGUCUCCACGGCCACAUCCUGUUCAACAAGGUCCUCAGUGGUCACUUCCGUGAGGGUCAUAAUAAUCUCAGGUGGUCCGAGAUCCAGCGGUGCUUCCUCCAUUUCAUCAUCUUCCAUGGCUGCACCGGUGGUGGUCAUAUUUGUGGAUGAUGUAGACGUUGUAGAGGGUCUCACUGCACCAGUGAUGGUCGCACUAGUAGAUGACAGAGGGUCUUGCUUGUAUGGGUAAAAGAGAGUGUAUAUUACAUUAUUUACACAUGCAAAAGUUCUUACAUUAUUAGCUCCUCUUCCAUUAUUGGUAUUUUAUUACAUUAUCAGUUGCUACACACCUGCAAAACAGUGAGUCUCUCAGCUAGCCUUCAAAACCCUCAAGAAAAUAGGGGGAAAGCCAGCAUAAAUUAUACUGCCCCAAAAUAAGUGUUUUGAGAGCACAGGCCUUUACAUAUUUUUUGUGUCCUGAAAUCUCAUUAUUGUUUAGAAAAUCGCAGGUUGAAAUGGUUGUUUCUGUGUCUUUAGGAGCUGCAGGGUCUUAAACAGUUCAUCUAUGCAGACUAUUCCAACUUUGUCCAUGUUCACAAUAUCUAUGAGGGCAUUUUGCUGCAGAGUCUGGACAAGGAAGUCAUCAAAGUGGUGGAGGAGGCAGCCAGGCUGAAGAAACACAAUCUGUUCACAGACACCAGAGACCUCCUGAGCCAGUCCAGCUGCUCCAGCAUAAUCUCCACCCCAGCAACCCAGCCAGGAUGCUAGGCUUCCCCGGACAGCUCCAGACCCAGCCCGAAGCCGAGCCCCGGCCACCCUCCCUGCUGAGCCAAAGAGGCCCUCCAGGCUGGGGAGCCUGCCCCCAAGGCCCAGGACUGUGUGAAGGAGAUCUGGGACCUGGUGGUGGAGGAGUUGGGAGUGGAGAAGAUGGUACAGCGUUACCCAGGUAGUCAUAACCUAUAAGAGAGUGGUGACAAAGUGAGGGGCCUGAUGUCACAGAGAAUAAAGGAUGACAAGGGCCCCAUUUUUUUUUAAAUCACUGUAAAUGUGAGGAGUAUGGAAAGGUGAUAGACUAUACCCUUGCUAUUGUGGAAACCGACUGAGAUUGCCAUCACUGUAAAAAAAAGUAAUUUUUAUACAAGCAUAAAACUAAGUUUCCAUAAAACUGGUAAAAUAUGAAUGUAUACAAUUGUGUUUGUGAGAAGACCAAUGUGGUGAGAUAUGGCCAUAACUGGAUUAUGAAAUUCAGAACCAAGGAAAACAUCAAAUUGACUAUUGCAAUUGUGUGGGUUGAACUUCAUUUGUGUCAUAGAUUUUUGUAUGUAUUUUAGAUGAUUUGAGAAAUGUUUGAUAUAUGCCAGUUUAAGUUGUUCAAUAUUAAAUCAAGAACACUGCCGUAUAUUGAAUCGGUCUGAGUAGCAAUGGGAGGGUUCUACAUAUGGAGGGUUUAUGGAUUUUCUGUUCUAUGUACAGCUAUCCCAAUAAGAGAUACAUCCAAAGGCAUCAUGAUUUGAGGAGUAUAUUAUUAUACUGUAUACACGUAGGCCUACUGCAUUGAUUCCAUGAAGAAGGAGCCAUUUCCAAUGGACGUGGUUGCUAUGGAGACUGGUCUAGUGUCUUUAUUUCUGAAUAACCUUUAGCUGUGUUGAUAUGUCAACACCAUCCAGUGCCUGCACAUAACAUUUUACACUGGCAAUUUGGAAAGGGGCUGUGCAUAUUCACUGUAUAUUUAAGUUAAUUGCUAGCUAAAUGUAAUUAAUUGGUUUUCAGCUACUUUUGUGCUCCAUAAACUCAGCUAUUAACCCUUCAGUGCUAAAGAAAGGCAAACGCAUCGUGUUUUAUUUGUCUAUAAAACAAUACAAAGGUUAUUUUAUUUAAAUAACACACAAGCACUGGACGGCUGGCUGGUUUUUCUAGAUUUCAUACAGUAUUUUAUAGUUUCUCAGACUCUAAAAUUGUUCAUGGAUAAACAAAAUGAUUGCCACCCUUGAUAAAGACUGUAUAAAAUAAAUAAUACAAAUACUGAGUGUACAGAACAUGAGGAACACCAGCUCUUUCCAUGACAGACAGAAUCCAGGUGAAAGCUAAGAUCCCUUACUGAUGUCACUUGUUAAAUCCACCUGUGCCGAUGAAGGAGACAGGUUAUAGAAGGAUUUUUAAGCCUCUAGACAAUUGAGACAUGGAUUGUGUGUGUGCGCCAUUCAGAGGGCAAGACUAAAUAAAUAUUUAUAUAAAAUAUUUAAGUGUGCUUGCUCUAUUUCCUCCACGGCAUAAGUACCUUAUGGUUGAAGACUCUUCUUUGAGUCAUAAAAGUGCAUUGAAAUCACAUACUUUGAAGAGGUGUGUGGCCACUUGGAAACACCAGUUAGUCCUCUUACUCAAACCCUUAUGUUUUUGUCUUAUGUUGCACCUACCCCAC
ensembl:lncRNA